GUAGGUGGCAAGCGUUGUCCGGAAUUAUUGGGCGUAAAGCGCGCGCAGGCGGUUCUUUAAGUCUGAUGUGAAAGCCCACGGCUCAACCGUGGAGGGUCAUUGGAAACUGGAGAACUUGAGUACAGAAGAGGAAAGCGGAAUUCCACGUGUAGCGGUGAAAUGCGUAGAGAUGUGGAGGAACACCAGUGGCGAAGGCGGCUUUCUGGUCUGUAACUGACGCUGAGGCGCGAAAGCGUGGGGAGCAAACGGGGGAUUAGAUACCCUGGUAGUCCACGCCGUAAACGAUGAGUGCUAAGUGUUAGGGGGUUUCCCGCCCCCUUAGUGCUGCAGCUAACGCAUUAAGCACUCCGCCUGGGGAGUACGGCCGCAAGGCUG
rnacentral:rRNA from 1 species